CUGCGUGCGGCGGCCUGGAAGCCGGCGGUCACGGGCACAUCCGCCGCGCCGAGGACGCUGGUUAGUCUCGCUCUGGGUUCCGGCUGCGUCGGCCUUGCGUGCAGCUCGCUGGCACCAUGGCGUCCGGGCCUCACCCGACCUCGACCGCCGCUGCCGCCGCCGCCUCGGCAGCCUCCGCCGCCCCGAGCGCCGGCGGCUCCAGCUCGGGCACGACGACCACGACGACGACGACGACCGGAGGGAUCCUGAUCGGCGACCGCCUGUACUCGGAGGUGUCGCUCACCAUCGACCACUCGCUGAUCCCGGAGGAGCGGCUGUCGCCGACGCCGUCCAUGCAGGACGGCCUGGACCUGCCCAGCGAGACGGACCUGCGCAUCCUGGGCUGCGAGCUCAUCCAGGCCGCCGGCAUUCUCCUCCGGCUGCCUCAGGUGGCGAUGGCAACGGGGCAGGUGUUGUUCCAUCGCUUUUUCUACUCCAAGUCGUUCGUCAAACACAGUUUCGAGAUUGUUGCCAUGGCCUGUAUUAAUCUCGCGUCAAAAAUAGAAGAAGCACCAAGAAGAAUAAGAGAUGUGAUUAAUGUAUUCCACCACCUCCGCCAGUUAAGAGGAAAAAGGACUCCAAGCCCUCUGAUCCUUGAUCAGAACUACAUUAACACCAAAAAUCAAGUUAUCAAGGCAGAAAGGAGGGUGCUAAAGGAGUUGGGAUUUUGUGUUCAUGUCAAGCAUCCCCAUAAGAUCAUUGUAAUGUAUUUACAAGUCUUAGAGUGUGAACGUAACCAAACCCUGGUUCAAACUGCCUGGGUAGUCCAUGAUGGUAAGUCAUAGAACUCUGCCCUCCGCACUUCAGCCCAUGACCUCAGGAUGGCCUGAUUGGCUAGCCUGCUCUCCAGCCAAUCCAGUGCAAGCUCUCAUCCGAGAUUCACUGAAGUGGUCCAUAUCCAUCUGGCAGCAUCUUCUAGUUCUGUCGGGGUGUCAAAAGGAUUUGUAUAUUUGCUUCUAGAAGUAACUAUGCAUCAUGCCUAUGUAUUUAAUGUAUACCUGUAACUAUCAAAAUGAAUAUUUCAUUUUUGAUAGACUGUUGUCCAGCCAAUAUGAAUUGUUUUUUUUUAAUUGGGUUCAGUUAAAUUUCUACUUGGAAUGUGUAUAGCAUCCGUUCUACCAAGGAGGCUACCUUAUGCUUGUAGCUUUAAAUGGGUGCCUGUUGCCAUUUGAGGUGACUCCAGCUAUUGAGGUGUUGUAGGCUGUGAUAUAAGGAGCAUUUAAUUUUAAAAUAGUUAAUGUUAUUUAAGUAUUUUUGAACUUGGGCCUUUGAGAUGCAGAAAGGUUAAGCAAGGAAAUUGGUUUAGCAUAAAUGAUUCCUAUGACUGCUGAUAAACAAGCAUUAAAUAAUUCUGGACUUUCCCAGAAAUAUGUCUUAUUUUUAAUGACAGCCAUGCUUCUCUUGGGCUCAGAUACUGGUAACUUUGAAAAGCCACAUAGCUUUAUCAAAUGCAUGAGUUUUCAAUGUAUUCUGUGCAGCAAAAAUAUUAUACAAUAGUUUUUAACAAUUGUAAGGAUUUUAAAAAUAAUCCAUUUAACUUCCAUCUCAGGCUUUUCAGCAAAUUAUGAAGUUUUUUAGUUAAGGAAUUUUAUUGCAAAGUUUUACUAGACGUUUCAGAAGUUUAUUUAAUUAAAUUAGAUUAUUGUUUUAUUUAUACUUAAUUGCAAAAAGGUAUGUAAACAAGGCCAUUAUAUGUAUUUAUUGCUCACUUUGCUACCUAGAUUUUUUAAGUGUUUUUUCCCCCUUUCUAACUAUAAGAGUAACUUGAUGGGUUCUUACUAAAAAUACCUUUUACCCCUAUUUCUGGAAUUGGAAUUUUUUUUUUUUUUUAAGAACUUGGUUGACACUGCUUUUCAUUAUGGAUAAAGGAGAGACGGUCAGUAACUGAUGGCUUGAAGUAUUGUUGGAGUGGUUAGAUCUGAACCUCGCUGGGUCAGAAUUGACUCCAAAUCACUGCCUUUAUAGUGAUAUGUUGAAGGAGGGUUUAGGGGUGAGAUCUGUAUUGUUUGUAAGUGCUGUGGGGAAAGGCUUAGAAACUGUUAACAUGAUACAGUUUAAAGAUGUGAAUAUGAGAAGAAAAAAGAAUGAAGUAGAUUGAGUCUCCAAUUUCAUAUGCACGUCAGAAGAAUCGAUUUGCUUUUGGACUAAGCUGAUAGCUGAAAUGUUUUUCAGGAAUUACAUGAAUGACAGUCUUCGAACCAAUGUUUUUGUUCGCUUUCAACCAGAGACGAUAGCAUGUGCUUGUAUCUACCUUGCAGCUAGAGCGCUUCAGAUUCCAUUGCCAACUCGGCCCCAUUGGUUUCUUCUUUUUGGUACCACAG